CCAGCAGCCGCGGUAAUUCCAGCUCCAAUAGCGUAUAUUAAUGUUGUUGCAGUUAAAAAGCUCGUAGUUGAAUUUCUGGCUAGGUUGUCAGCUGGCUUCGGUCGUUGUCAACCUAGUCAUCCGUUAGAGAAACUAGGCCGUCCUUCACUGGUCACCUAGCGGAUCUAACAUUUUACUUUGAAAAAAUUAGAGUGUUCAAGGCAGGCAAUCGUCAUGAAUACUAUAGCAUAGAAUAAUGGAAUAGGACUUUGGUUCAUUUUAUUGGUUAUUGAACCUUAGUAAUGAUUAACAGGGACAGUUGGGGGCAUUAGUAUUUAAUUGUCAGAGGUGAAAUUCUUGGAUUUAUUAAAGACUAACUUAUGCGAAAGCAUUUGCCAAGGAUGUUUUCAUUAAUCAAGAACGAAAGU
rnacentral:rRNA from 1 species